GAUGAACGCUGGCGGCGUGCCUAACACAUGCAAGUCGAACGGAGUCGUUUUGGAAAUCUCUUCGGAGAUGGAAUUCUCGACUUAGUGGCGGACGGGUGAGUAACGCGUGAGCAAUCUGCCUUUAAGAGGGGGAUAACAGUCGGAAACGGCUGCUAAUACCGCAUAAAGCAUUAAAUUCGCAUGUUUUUGAUGCCAAAGGAGCAAUCCGCUUUUAGAUGAGCUCGCGUCUGAUUAGCUAGUUGGCGGGGUAACGGCCCACCAAGGCGACGAUCAGUAGCCGGACUGAGAGGUUGAACGGCCACAUUGGGACUGAGACACGGCCCAGACUCCUACGGGAGGCAGCAGUGGGGAAUAUUGCGCAAUGGGGGAAACCCUGACGCAGCAACGCCGCGUGAUUGAAGAAGGCCUUCGGGUUGUAAAGAUCCUUAAUCAGGGACGAAACAAAUGACGGUACCUGAAGAAUAAGCUCCGGCUAACUACGUG
rnacentral:rRNA from 1 species